CCCACGGCUCACGCCGUGGGCUAAAUUCUGGCGCCCGCUUCGCGGGCU
rnacentral:sRNA from 1 species